rnacentral:rRNA from 1 species
GUCCACGCCGUAAACGAUGGAUACUAGCUGUUCGGAGCAAUCUGAGUGGCUAAGCGAAAGUGAUAAGUAUCCCACCUGGGGAGUACGUUCGCAAGAAUGAAACUCAAAGGAAUUGACGGGGGCCCCGCACAAGCGGUGGAGCAUGUGGUUUAAUUCGAUGAUACGCGAGGAACCUUACCAAGGCUUAAAUGGGAAACGACAGGUUUGGAAACAGACUUUUCUUCGGACGUUUUUCAAGGUGCUGCAUGGUUGUCGU